rnacentral:rRNA from 1 species
UACAGAGGGGGCAAGCGUUGUUCGGAAUUACUGGGCGUAAAGGGCGCGUAGGCGGCCUUCUAAGUCGAACGUGAAAUCCCCCGGCUUAACCUGGGAACUGCGUCUGAUACUGGAGGGCUUGAGUGCGGGAGAGGGAUGUGGAAUUCCAGGUGUAGCGGUGAAAUGCGUAGAUAUCUGGAGGAACACCGGUGGCGAAGGCGGCAUCCUGGACCGACACUGACGCUGAGGCGCGAAAGCUAGGGUAGCAAACGGG